UUGUGUCACCUUCUUUCUGAGAAGCCACGGACAUCUGGAGAGCUGCAGGCAGAGUAUGGAGGUGGGUCUGGGCAUCGGGAUCUCCCCAGGGAAGGGCCUUUCCCUUCCCCUUAAGCCAAAACUCCCCUCUGGAAGGGGCAAGGAGCUGCCACCACCAUCAGGGUUUAAGGAAGGGGGAAGGUGACCCUGGAGGGUGCUGGUGGUCCCCAAGGGGCUCUGUUGGAUUUAAUGGCCAUCCCAGGGUGCUUGGUUUGAAGAAACAGGGAUGGGCUUCUCGCUUGGCCUCGGGACAGAGCCCUUUGUUAGUGGGUGUAAGCAUGAAUUAAAGGGGAUUUUUUGGGUGAGAGCUCUUUGCUGGCAGUGUCUGGUAAAGUCAAAACUUGUGGGUGUUUCUGGGGGGAACAGGGCAGGGUGUGUGCAGUCACCCCAAGGUGUGAUGGUGGGGACAUACCAGGAGGGCAGCUCUGGGUUGGGAUGAAGGGCAUGUGCUGGUGUGGUGAUGCACCAGGCAGGUAUUUUGGCUCCUGAUGUAUUUUGGCAGGUCACUCUGAGCCUGUUAUGGGCAUGGGGACACCAUUGGCUGAGCCCUCACCUGCCACACCACUGGGGAUGAAAGUGGCAUGAGCUGUGCUUUCCACACCCUGGCACUUCACCUGGGCUCAGCAUAACCCAGGCCGACGUGCACCUGGAGCGGGACGAAUUCAGCUCAGAGGAGUGGCUAAUGCAUGUUGGGGCUGGUGGAGCAGCUCUUGCUCCCCUACACCCCAUGCCCACAAGGAUGACUGUGGCUGUGGUGGGACCAACACACGAGCUGUGGACUCUCUGGAGUUUGCCUACAUAUGCAGCUCAUAGCGCCCCUGGGACGUGAUCUUGUGGAUGUUGUCCAAGCCUGUUGAGGCAAAUAGUGAAACACCUGGUGAGACUCGGUGCCUGGAUCCGCUCCGUGAGCAAACAGGGAAAGCUCUAAGCAAAUAAGACAGCUGUGGGAAAUGAGAGCGAGGAGAGGAAUCGAAGAGCAGCAGCACUUCUGUGACUUCUUGAAGACAAGUCCUUGUUCUCAGCAAAGUGUCCUGAUGCACUGCCAGAGUAAAUUGAAUCCCAGAUCUUGAUGCUUCACUCAGGGGUGCGUCCAUGGAUUGCAUUGCCUUGGUGAUAGUUCCUGGGUGCUUCUGUCUCAUUGAUAUUGGGCUCCAUGUGGCAGAUUCCUGAGCCCCUGAAGGUCCCGGGAGGGCAGAGAGUCAACAUGGAGGAACCUGAUGUCCUGCCAUACUGAAGAGCUUCAAGCUGAAUGACUCUAUUUGGCACCCAGAAGGAUCUUUGGUGGUGGCGCAUGACUUGGAGGUGCCUGAUUUGGAGGUGCGUUACUUGGAGGUGCAUCACUUGUGGAUAAGCAGCACCCAAAUCCAGACCCACGCAGGGGAAAAUGAGCUACAUCCCAAGGAAAACCUUCUCUCCGAUAACUGCUCGUACUUUUGCAUUGGAAAACGUGUAACUUUGUGCCCAGCUCUUCAAAGCAUCCAGACUACUUUUAUCGAGGAUCUUCCACUCAAUUUACUCUUUUCUGGGCCUUUCCAUCAUUGGUAAAAUUUAUCAGCAAUGAUAUUAUGUCUUUUGAAAGGUGUUGACAACGUGUUAAAUAACGUGGGGCCAAGGACAGAUCCAAGCAUUUAGAACUGAGGAACAUCUCUAGAAAUGUUCCUGCUUCGGUGCCAGCUCCUGGUUUGUCCUUAAGCUGAGGGAUCAGCUUGUAAAGCUGUUGAUGUCUUGGCUGUGGGGAGAGAGGAGAAAAUGCAACUGCUCUGGUGAGUCUUCAUAACUAGCUGGGUGUGGGCUAUGGUGGGUGUCCAACAAACUCCCUCAGAUAAAAGGUUUUUAGGUAAAUUCAUACCAGGGAUCUACCGGGAGACACUUUCAGAUGUUUCUGCUUUCUUUUGCAGAGAAUUGGGCCCUUCCCUCCUCCAGAGCCCCCAGCACUCAACCUUUGAACAUCGUGGACUGAAGCCUGGCUGAUGGAUGCUUGGAGCCCAGCAGGACUUAACCGCUGCAUGGAUGGAUGGGGCCAAGCCAGGCCAUUGCUCCUGUGCCAUGGCAGUGCUGAUGCCUGCUGGGCAGCCUGUUUUAUCACUUGCAUGAUCACAAGGUGGGUGAGAAAGCCCACUCUGGUUCUGUAAUUCAGAAUAUACUGUAUAUCUAUAUACAUCUAGUAUAGUGAAUAUAAGAGAAAAUGACUAUAUAAUAAGGGUGUGCUGAAUGCUGCAUGCCAGGGUCAGAAGUUCUGUGGGAGAAUCUGUGUGGGCAGGGGUGAGAAGGACCAGGGAGGGUUGGAAAAAGACAUGUGGGGGAAUUUGGAGCAGUGGGGUGAGGUCUGAGGGCAAAACAGCAACGGAGGAGGGAGGGCAGCUGGGAAGCACAGUGGGUAGGAGCUGGGUGUCCAGGACCAGGUCACGCUUAUCCAAACCCUGAAUCUCAAACUACUUCACGUUGUCCAGUCAUCCAGGUGAUGCACAUCUACUUAGCUGUGUGGCAUAAAACCAUGGCUUUUCUGCUUGAUCCCGGCACAAGGUGUUGAGGCAGAACAAGGAUGAUGAGGAUUAAGCUGUGGGGGUGCUGCAGAGGAAGGCAGACAUGCCAGCACAGGGAUGCCUUCAGGAAGCAGAAAGCUGGGAGCCACCGCGCCACCUGUGCUCCCUUCAAAGGUCAACCUCCGAGUUCGAAGUACCAGCCUCUGUAUUUUGUGCUGACAUCCAUGGGAAAGGAAGAUUUGGGCUUGACCAGGAGAUGUCUCUGUUAAGCCACGUCGAGCUGAGCGUGGACGCAAAGCGGGAGGAGAGGACUGAGCCGACAUAGCUCAGACCUGCAGCAAACCACUGCUGGUGGAGGGACCCUCCCUUCGCUCUCACCACUGCCUCAAGUUAGCAGCCUGAAGAGCAUCACCUUGUUACAGCCCUCCAGCAGCUAUUUAAGUGCUGUUUCUGUUUGGAACAGCUUGGGUGGAGGUAGUAGACAUCUGCCUAACUGCCAAGGCAGACUGCAGCAGGUCUGGCGUGGAGAGCCCCUUCUCCCAGUGAGCUCUGCCCAUUGCUGCGUCUCCUUUGGCGAGGAGAAGACACAGUUUUCUCGGGUCUACAGGAUGGACCAGGGACUGGGCAAAUAAAUUGGUUAGGAAGGGACAUGCUGUUGCUCCUGGCUCCCGGCCCUGCUGCCUGAUUUGCCUGAAUAGGUGGGAGUAGAGGGCAUUUAGUGGAACAAAAGCAGGUGGGAGUUUUAAUCUGUUAUAUAUGAGUAAGUAAUACAUUUAUAGAGAUAUUUCUUGAGGGCUUGCAGCCUCUGAAAUGUGAGAUUAGCAGAGAAGAAGAAUUUAUCCAGCUAUAUAAUAAAAGCAGACCCGAGUCUUCACUCCCAACCCCAUUAAACCUCGCCACGGUUUCUGUGCUUGUGGCAAUUCAGGAGGGAGAGGGACAAAAUACUGCAUGAAGAAGCUGGUGCUGCAGUGCUUGGGCACCGGGGUGCUGCUACUUUUAUCCCUGCCCAUGCAGUGCCAGGCUGCUCUUGCUGAUAGGAUCUUAUUUUUGGGACCAAGCCCUGGGCUCUGUCGUGCUCCCCCAGGUCAGGCUCACUCACGGGUUGAGACGCUGUCGGAGGUGGGAGGGCUCCUGGCUUGUUCCUUCAGGGCCACCACGGUGACAGUGUACUCCUCCCCUGGCUUCAGCCCCGUCUGGUUGAAGGUGGUGACAGUGCUGGGCAGCUGAGCAAUCACACCACCCUCGUUAUUCUGCCAGGGAGUGGAAAUAAGCAUUAAAAAAAAAAAACCACAAAAAUGGUGUUUUGGGGGGACUGAUGCAUGGAGAGGAGGUGCCCCCCCCCUCCACGUCACAUUCUUCCAUGGCCAGCUGUGCAUCCCCAGAUCACUUCCCACCAUGGAGGUGCAGAAACCCAGGGUGAAGUCACCCACCAAGCAGGGAGCACCCAUGUUGUUGGGCUGCAAAAUCCUUCCCCAUCCCUUCCCCCCUCAGCUUCUGUAUUUUGCCAUCUGUGUCUCUGCUGUUCUUCAGAAGGGAAAAGAGAAUAAAAACAAAGCCUUGGCUAGACUA